GGUGUGAGUUCUAGAUCUAGGGUUUUAGAUCUAGUGAUUGGGAGAGAAGAAAAUAGGAAGGAGUUCUUUUCUAUUUUCACUCUACCUUGCAGCAGUACCUCCUCUAAUCUAUCUUAGACAUCAAAAAGAUCUGAGGCGAUCGAAGAAAGAGAUCAAAUCAGAUCCGUCAUUAGAAGCGAAUGCGCGAGCUAGCACUCCCGUGGAGGACAGAUCGGUCCGAGGAUUUCGUGUGGACCAUCCGUAGAGGUCGGA
rnacentral:lncRNA from 1 species